rnacentral:rRNA from 1 species
CAGCCGCCGCGGGAAUACAGAGGGUGCAAGCGUUAAUCGGAAUUACUGGGCGUAAAGCGCGCGUAGGUGGUUUGUUAAGUUGGAUGUGAAAUACCCGGGCUCAACCUGGGAACUGCAUCCAAAACUGGCAAGCUAGAGUAUGGUAGAGGGUGGUGGAAUUUCCUGUGUAGCGGUGAAAUGCGUAGAUAUAGGAAGGAACACCAGUGGCGAAGGCGACCACCUGGACUGAUACUGACACUGAGGUGCGAAAGCGUGGGGAGCAAACAGGAUUAGAUACCCCAGUAGUCCCUGUCUCUUAUAC